rnacentral:tRNA from 1 species
AUAAAUUGCCUGAUAAAAGGAGUACCUUGAUACGGUAUUAACAUAAAUUUAUAUUUAUAUUUAUU